UCCUACGGGAGGCAGCAGUGGGGGAUAUUGCACAAUGGGGGAAACCCUGAUGCAGCAACGCCGCGUGAGUGACGAAGGUCUUCGGAUUGUAAACUAUUGUCGUUAGGGAAGAGAAAGGACAGUACCUAAGGAGGAAGCUCCGGCUAACUACGUGCCAGCAGCCGCGGUAAUACGUAGGGAGCGAGCGUUAUCUGGAAUUAUUGGGUGUAAAGGGUGCGUAGACGGGAAAGCAAGUUAGUUGUGAAAUCCCUCGGCUUAACUGAGGAACUGCAACUAAAACUACUUUUCUUGAGUGCAGGAGAGGU
rnacentral:rRNA from 1 species